UACGUAGGUGACAAGCGUUGUCCGGAUUUACUGGGCGUAAAGAGCGCGCAGGCGGUCGUUCAAGUCGAGUGUGAAAGCCCCCGGCUCAACUGGGGAGGGUCACUCGAUACUGAUCGACUCGAAGGCAGGAGAGGGUAGUGGAAUUCCCGGUGUAGUGGUGAAAUGCGUAGAUAUCGGGAGGAACACCAGUGGCGAAGGCGACUUCCUGGACCGACACUGACGCUGAGGCGCGAAAGCUAGGGGAGCAAACGGG
rnacentral:rRNA from 1 species